rnacentral:rRNA from 1 species
AUCAUUGGGCGUAAAGCCGGUUGUAGCCGGAACUGUAAGUCAGAAGUGAAAGCCCUGGGCUCAACCCAGGAAGUGCUUUUGAAACUAUGGUUCUUGAGUGCAGAAGAGGAGAGUGGAAUUCCUAGUGUAGUGGUGAAAUACGUAGAUAUUAGGAGGAACACCGGUGGCGAAGGCGGCUCUCUGGUCUGUCACUGACGCUCAGACCCGAAAGCGUGGGUAGCAAACAGGAUUAGAUACCCUGGUAGUCCACGCCGUAAACGAUGGAUACUUGGUGUUGGAGGUAUUGACCCCUUCAGUGUCGUAGCUAACGCGUUAAGUAUCCCGCCUGAGGAGUACGGUCGCAAGAUUAAAACUCAAAGAAAUUGACGGGGGCCCGCACAAGCGGUGGAGCAUGUGGUUUAAUUCGAUGCAACGCGAAAAACCUUACCGGGGUUUGACAUGUACUGGAAGUACUCAGAGAUGAGUGUGCCUUCGGGCCGGUACACAGGUGCUGCAUGGCUGUCGUCAGCUCGUGUCGUGAGAUGUUGGGUUAAGUCCCGCAACGAGCGCAACCCCUAUCUUUAGUUGCCAGCAUUUAGUUGGGCACUCUAAAGGGACUGCCGACGUUAAGUCGGAGGAAGGUGGGGAUGACGUCAAGUCCUCAUGGCCUUUAUAUCCAGGGCUACACACGUGCUACAAUGGUAGGUACAGAGGGUGACCAAACCGCAAGGUGGAGUUAAUCUCUUAAAGCUUAUCUAAGUUCGGAUUGGAGUCUGCAACUCGACUCCAUGAAGUUGGAAUCGCUAGUAAUCGCGGAUCAGAAUGCCGCGGUGAUACGUUCCCGGGCCUUGUACACACCGCCCGUCACACCAUGAAAGUUGGCUAUACCAGAAGUCGCUGAGCUAACCUCGGAGGCAAGCGCCCAAGGUAUGGUCGAUGAUUGGGGUGAAGUCGUAACAAG